rnacentral:rRNA from 1 species
AGAGUUUGAUCCUGGCUCAGAACGAACGCUGGCGGCAGGCCUAACACAUGCAAGUCGAACGAAGUCUUCGGACUUAGUGGCAGACGGGUGAGUAACGCGUGGGAAUCUACCCAGCUCUACGGAAUAGCUCCGGGAAACUGGAAUUAAUACCGUAUACGCCCUACGGGGGAAAGAUUUAUCGGAGUUGGAUGAGCCCGCGUUGGAUUAGCUAGUUGGUGAGGUAACGGCUCACCAAGGCGACGAUCCAUAGCUGGUCUGAGAGGAUGAUCAGCCACAUUGGGACUGAGACACGGCCCAAACUCCUACGGGAGGCAGCAGUGGGGAAUAUUGGACAAUGGGCGCAAGCCUGAUCCAGCCAUGCCGCGUGAGUGAUGACGGCCCUAGGGUUGUAAAGCUCUUUCACCGGUGAAGAUAAUGACGGUAACCGGAGAAGAAGCCCCGGCUAACUUUGUGCCAGCAGCCGCGGUAAUACGAAGGGGGCUAGCGUUGUUCGGAAUAACUGGGCGUAAAGCGCGCGUAGGCGGGCUGUUAAGUCAGGGGUGAAAUCCCGGGGCUCAACCCCGGAACUGCCUUUGAUACUGGCAGCCUAGAGUUCGAGAGAGGUGAGUGGAAUUCCGAGUGUAGAGGUGAAAUUCGUAGAUAUUCGGAGGAACACCAGUGGCGAAGGCGGCUCACUGGCUCGAUACUGACGCUGAGGUGCGAAAGCGUGGGGAGCAAACAGGAUUAGAUACCCUAGUAGUCC